rnacentral:rRNA from 1 species
GAUCCUGGCUCAGGAUGAACGCUAGCUACAGGCUUAACACAUGCAAGUCGCGGGGUAACAUCUGGUAGAGCUUGCUCUUCCAGGAUGACGACCGGCGCACGGGUGAGUAACGCGUAUCCAACCUGGCCCAUACCACGGGAUAGCCCGUCGAAAGGCGGAUUAAUAUCGUAUGCUGUCAUCAAGAUGCAUAUAUUGAUGACGAAAGGACUGGCGGUAUGGGAUGGGGA